GACGAACGCUGGCGGCGUGCCUAAUACAUGCAAGUCGAACGCUUCCUACCGGUGCUUGCACCGGGAAAGAAGAGGGGCGGACGGGUGAGUAACACGUGGGUAACCUACCUACAAGCGGGGGAUAACAUUCGGAGACGGAUGCUAAUACCGCAUAGAUCUUUUUGUCUCCUGGCAGAAAGAAGAAAGACGGUUUCGGCUGUCACUUGUAGAUGGACACGCGGCGCAUUAGUUAGUUGGUGAGGUAAUGGCUCACCAAGACGAUGAUGCGUAGCCGACCUGAGAGGGUGAUCGGCCACACUGGGACUGAGACACGGCCCAGACUCCUACGGGAGGCAGCAGUAGGGAAUCUUCCGCAAUGGACGAAAGUCUGACGGAGCAACGCCGCGUGAGUGAAGAAGGUUUUCGGAACGUAAAACUCUGUUGUUAGAGAAGAACAAGGAUGAGAGUAACUGCUCGUCCCUUGACGGUAUCUAACCAGAAAGCCAUGGCUAACUACGUGCCAGCCGCCGCGGUAA
rnacentral:rRNA from 1 species